UUUUCGGCAAUGGACGCAAGUCUGACCGAGCAACGCCGCGUGAGUGAAGAAGGUUUUCGGAUCGUAAAACUCUGUUGUAAGAGAAGAACGUUGAUGAGAGUGGAAAGUUCAUCAAGUGACGGUAUCUUACCAGAAAGCCACGGCUAACUACGUGCCAGCAGCCGCGGUAAUACGUAGGUGGCAAGCGUUGUCCGGAUUUAUUGGGCGUAAAGCGAGCGCAGGCGGUUGAUUAAGUCUGAUGUGAAAGCCCCCGGCUCAACCGGGGAGGGUCAUUGGAAACUGGUCAACUUGAGUGCAGAAGAGGAGAGUGGAAUUCCAUGUGUAGCGGUGAAAUGCGUAGAUAUAUGGAGGAACACCAGUGGCGAAGGCGGCUCUCUGGUCUGUAACUGACGCUGAGGCUCGAAA
rnacentral:rRNA from 1 species